GAUGAACGCUGGCGGCGUGCUUAACACAUGCAAGUCGAACGGUGAACGAGGGAGCUUGCUCCCUCCGGAUCAGUGGCGAACGGGUGAGUAACACGUGAGCAAUCUGCCUUGGACUCUGGGAUAAGCGUUGGAAACGACGUCUAAUACCGGAUACGAGGCGUGGGGGCAUCCCCAACGCCUGGAAAGAACUUCGGUCCAGGAUGGGCUCGCGGCCUAUCAGCUUGUUGGAGGUAACGGCUCACCAAGGCGACGACGGGUAGCCGGCCUGAGAGGGUGACCGGCGACACUGGGACUGAGACACGGCCCAGACUCCGACGGGAGGCAGCAGUGGGGAAGAUUGCACAAUGGGCGCAAGCCUGAUGCAGCAACGCCGCGUGAGGGACGACGGCCUUCGGGUUGUAAACCUCUUUUAGCAGGGAAGAAGCGAAAGUGACGGUACCUGCAGAAAAAGCACCGGCUAACUACGUGCCAGCCGCCGCCGUAAAAC
rnacentral:rRNA from 1 species